CAAGGGGCUCUCUUGAAAGUGUCCAGAAGAACAAAUCAGCAGAAUACCAGCUGGAGGAGGGCGGUUUCUCCGGAAGACUGUUUCUUUGGCUGAAGAAUCUGUUUUCAUGUUUCCUGUCCAUAUUUAAGAAAAAUGAGCAGAAGUCUCAGGAUACAGCUGAGGAUGAAGCUUUCCUAAAAAUGGAACAGAGUGAAGAAGCCACAGAAGAGAGGAUAAAUACAUCAGAAUAUCCUGCUGAAGAGGCAGCAGAGGAAAGUGAAGAAUAAAACCUCCACUGAUUGAACUACAUCCUCAGCCUUAUUAGCAUUAUUAAACAUACUAGAGGCCUGUUGCACAAAAAGAUUUAUGCAAUAGGCCUUCCCUUCCCCUGGUUGCCAACACCGGUUUUCCUCCGGCACCCGGGACCUAGGCC